UGUCCAGUGGAAAUUAUAACCUCUAUAAAAUUUUUUGUGAUCAAAUUUUGUUUUCUCAGGCCUGUUUUUUCAGAUCAUGGUCUUGGGUAGAACUACUGGAGUCACUGAUCUACUAGGGUGGCAUUCCUAACUAGAAUUACAUUGAAGGCAUUGCAGUAAUUCUGUCAGGCUGCCAGAAGGGUGGAACUGUUGCCCAGGAAGGUAACAUGAUUUGUACAGACCAGUCCGGGAGAACAGUGGCAUCAGGAGAAACAGACUAGAGGCCAUCAGAGCUGCAGAUGUCUUUCCAGGACUCAGUGACCUCACUCUGCAGGACUGGACAUUUGGAAUGUGCAAGUGUGCAGUAAAAUUCCUGCCUCUUGGUAUCAGCUCUCCCAAGAGACAGAUAUCAGGAGGUAAGAUGCCUGGUGUGACAAGACUGGAAGAAUGAAGUUGAGGUUUUGCUUUGAUGAUGCUGAAGAACACUUGAAAACAAUUGAUGUAUGCAAAUUUCUGCAUCUUUUUCUGCAUCUAAUUAAUUAAGCACAUCUAUUUCCCUUGGGAGCCAACUGUCAAUGCUGAUAAAUAAAUAAUA